rnacentral:rRNA from 1 species
UCCAGACUCCUACGGGAGGCAGCAGUGGGGAAUAUUGCACAAUGGGGGAAACCCUGAUGCAGCGACGCCGCGUGGGUGACGAAGUAUUUCGGUAUGUAAAGCCCUAUCAGCAGGGAAGAAGAUGACAGUACCUGACUAAGAAGCCCCGGCUAACUACGUGCCAGCAGCCGCGGUAAUACGUGGGGGGCAAGCGUUAUCCGGAUUUACUGGGUGUAAAGGGAGCGUAGGUGGCAUGGCAAGCCAGAAGUGAAAGCCCGGGGCUUAACCCCGCGGAUUGCUUUUGGAACUGUCAGGCUGGAGUGCAGGAGGGGCAGGCGGAAUUCCUGGUGUAGCGGUGAAAUGCGUAGAUAUCAGGAGGAACACCGGUGGCGAAGGCGGCCUGCUGGACUGUAACUGACACUGAGGAUCGAAAGCGUGGGGAGCAAACAGGAUUAGAUACCCCCGUAAAA